rnacentral:rRNA from 1 species
UGGGGAAUUUUGGACAAUGGGCGCAAGCCUGAUCCAGCCAUGCCGCGUGCAGGAUGAAGGCCUUCGGGUUGUAAACUGCUUUUGUACGGAACGAAAAGUCUCUUUCUAAUAAAGAGGGAUCAUGACGGUACCGUAAGAAUAAGCACCGGCUAACUACGUGCCAGCAGCCGCGGUAAUACGUAGGGUGCAAGCGUUAAUCGGAAUUACUGGGCGUAAAGCGUGCGCAGGCGGUGAUGUAAGACAGAUGUGAAAUCCCCGGGCUCAACCUGGGAACUGCAUUUGUGACUGCACAGCUGGAGUGCGGCAGAGGGGGAUGGAAUUCCGCGUGUAGCAGUGAAAUGCGUAGAUAUGCGGAGGAACACCGAUGGCGAAGGCAAUCCCCUGGGCCUGCACUGACGCUCAUGCACGAAAGCGUGGGGAGCAAACA